rnacentral:rRNA from 1 species
GGCUGUCCGCCAGUGUAAAUAACUGGUGAAGAAAGGGCCGGGCAAGACCGGUGCCAGCCGCCGCGGUAAUACCGGCGGCUCGAGUGGUGGCCACUAUUACUGGGCUUAAAGCGUUCGUAGCUGGUCUAUUAAGUCUCUGGGGAAAUCUUCCGGCUAAACCGGAAGGCGUCUCAGGGAUACUGGCAGACUAGGGACCGGAAGAGGUGAGAGGUACUCCAGGGGUAGGAGUGAAAUCCUGUAAUCCUUGGGGGACCACCUGUGGCGAAGGCGUCUCACCAGGACGGCUCCGACAGUGAGGAACGAAAGCUGGGGGAGCAAACCGGAUUAGAUACCCGGGUAGUCCCAGCUGUAAACGAUGCGCGUUAGGUGUAUCGGUGACCACGAGUCACCGAGGUGCCGAAGAGAAAUCGUGAAACGCGCCGCCUGGGAAGUACGGUCGCAAGGCUGAAACUUAA